AGGCCAUGGAUACCACCCUUGAUCUGGGCCGA
rnacentral:piRNA from 1 species